GACGUCGUGAGAAUUCCACUGAACCUUAUCAUUUAGGGGAAGGAGAAGUCGUAACAAGGUUUCCGUAGGUGAACCUGCGGAAGGAUCAUUG
rnacentral:rRNA from 1 species